AUUGAACGCUGGCGGCAUGCCUUACACAUGCAAGUCGAACGGCAGCACGGGUGCUUGCACCUGGUGGCGAGUGGCGAACGGGUGAGUAAUACAUCGGAACGUACCUUAUCGUGGGGGAUAACGCAGCGAAAGCUGUGCUAAUACCGCAUACGCCCUGAGGGGGAAAGCGGGGGAUCGAAAGACCUCGCGCGAUUAGAGCGGCCGAUGCCUGAUUAGCUUGUUGGUGGGGUAAAAGCCCACCAAGGCGACGAUCAGUAGCUGGUCUGAGAGGACGAUCAGCCACACUGGGACUGAGACACGGCCCAGACUCCUACGGGAGGCAGCAGUGGGGAAUUUUGGACAAUGGGGGCAACCCUUAUCCAGCAAUGCCGCGUGGGUGAAGAAGGCCUUCGGGUUGUAAAGCUCUUUUGUCAGGGAAGAAACACCGGCUCUAACACAGUCCGGGAAUGACGGUACCUGAAGAAUAAGCACCGGCUAACUACGUGCCAGCCGCCGCAGUAA
rnacentral:rRNA from 1 species